rnacentral:rRNA from 1 species
GAUGAACGCUGGCGGCGUGCCUAAUACAUGCAAGUCGAGCGAACGGACGAGAAGCUUGCUCCUCUGAUGUUAGCGGCGGACGGGUGAGUAACACGUGGAUAACCUCCCUAUAAGACUGGGAUAAAUUCGGGAAACCGGAGCUAAUACCGGAUAAUAUUUUGAACCGCAUGGUUCAAAAGUGAAAGACGGUCUUGCUGUCACAUAUAGAUGGAUCCGCUCUGUAUUAGCUAGUUGGUAAGGUAACGGCUUACCAAGGCAAAGAAGCAUAUACAACCUGAUGGUAAAGCCGGCAACACUGGAGCUUGGUCACGAUUUAGACUGCAACGGGAGGCAGCCGUAGGGAGUCUUCCGUCAUGGGCGAAAGCCUGACGGAGCAAAGCUGCGUGAGUGCUGACGGUCUUCGGAUCCUAAAACUCUUUUAUUAGGGAAGAACAUAUGUGUAAGUAAAUGUGCACAUCUUGACGGUAACUAAUCAGAAAGACAGGGCUAACUACGUG